UACAGAGGGUGCAAGCGUUAAUCGGAGUUACUGGGCGUAAAGGGCGCGUAGGUGGUUAUAUAAGUUAGAUGUGAAAUCCCUGGGCUUAACCUAGGAACUGCAUCUAGAACUGUAUGACUAGAGUAUUGUAGAGGGUAGUGGAAUUUCCGGUGUAGCGGUGAAAUGCGUAGAGAUCGGAAGGAACACCAGUGGCGAAGGCGGCUACCUGGACAAAUACUGACACUGAGGCGCGAAAGCGUGGGGAGCAAACAGG
rnacentral:rRNA from 1 species